rnacentral:rRNA from 1 species
UACAGAGGUCUCAAGCGUUUGUUCGGAUUCAUUGGGCGUAAAGGGUGCGUAGGCGGCGCGGUAAGUCGGGUGUGAAAAUCUUGGAGCUUAACUCCGAAACUGCAUUCGAUACUGCCGUGCUUGAGGACUGGAGAGGAGACUGGAAUUUACGGUGUAGCAGUGAAAUGCGUAGAGAUCGUAAGGAAGACCAGUGGCGAAGGCGGGUCUCUGGACAGUUCCUGACACUGAGGCACGAAGGCCAGGGGAGCAAACGGG